rnacentral:rRNA from 1 species
GACGAACGCUGGCGGCGUGCUUAACACAUGCAAGUCGAACGGUAAGGCCCUUCGGGGUACACGAGUGGCGAACGGGUGAGUAACACGUGGGUGAUCUGCCCUGCACUUUGGGAUAAGCCUGGGAAACUGGGUCUAAUACCGAAUAGGACUGCGCACUGCAUGGUGUGUGGUGGAAAGCUUUUGCGGUGUGGGAUGGGCCCGCGGCCUAUCAGCUUGUUGGUGGGGUGAUGGCCUACCAAGGCGACGACGGGUAGCCGGCCUGAGAGGGUGACCGGCCACACUGGGACUGAGAUACGGCCCAGACUCCUACGGGAGGCAGCAGUGGGGAAUAUUGCACAAUGGGCGCAAGCCUGAUGCAGCGACGCCGCGUGAGGGAUGACGGCCUUCGGGUUGUAAACCUCUUUCAGCACAGACGAAGCGCAAGUGACGGUAUGUGCAGAAGAAGGACCGGCCAACUACGUGCCAGCCGCCGCCGUAA